CUCUUGUUGUCUUCCUCCCUCAAGAGAUGUCUGCCCUAUUUUCCACUUGUUUGGAAACUAUCUCCCCUGUCUGGUGUCCUUGCAGCUGUGCAUCUGUCAGUCUGUGCUGUCAUCUUCUUCAGGGUAACCUCAAAUGUUCCAAGGUCUUACACCUACUCAUCAUAUUCAGGGAACUGAGACUCCACACACCUCACUUUGAGGCUGGAAUAUGCUGAAACUGCCUCCACAAACUCAUUAUUCUGGACCAAGACUUACAGCCUAAAGUGAAGGACAUUUCCAAAGAAAUUUUCUCCUCACUGAUGCCUCUCCUGCUGCAAUGCAAUGACCCUGGCUAUGUACAAGACAUACUUUGGCUUGCUCCUGGGAAACCUUUGCUCUGUAAAGAGCACUGAGCUGUUGCUACCAUUGCUGGCUUCAAGCACUUUGUCCCCAUUCAUUUCCAAGGUCAGACCUAAUGCCAAGACUUUGUUGAAGGAGAAGUGGGGAGUCUCAGCUACUGCUGCCAGAAAGGCAGAUGUUUUCAUUGUUUGCUGCAACUUGUUUGUCUUAUAGUGGUUUCUCAAGAUAUCCAGGAAGGAAGAAAAACAAAUACCUCACCCUGCCCUAGGAAAGUGACAGACUGUGAUGACACUUCCAUCACAAAACAGGCCUGGACUCUGAAGCAAGUGUCUCCUCUAACACACCCAUGUUAAAACCAGUCUAAGUUUCGCCUUCUCAGGCAUACUUCCACUACAUUGUGUUUACAAUGUUUUUUUUUCUCUAUUAUUAUUUUACUUAUUAUUUUUUUGAGAUGGAGUCUCACUCUGUUACCCAGGCUGGAGAGCAGUGGCGCUAUCUCGGCUCACUGCAAGCUCCGCCUCCCAGGUUCACGCCAUUCUCCUGCCUCAGCCUCCUGAGUAGCUGGUACUACAGGCACCCGCCACCACGCCUGGCUAAUUUUUUGUAUUUUUAGUAGAGAUGGGGUUUCACCAUGUUAGCCAGAAUGGUCUCGAUCUCCUGACCUCGUGAUCCACCCAACUCGGCCUCCCAAAGUGCUGGGAUUACAGGCGUGAGCCACCGCGCCUGGCCUUAAAAUAUUUUAAUACACAUUUUCAUUUAUUGGAGAAAUGUGUCAUUGCUUAAGUUGUUCUGUUUAAACAAUGUGAUACAGGUCUCAUUUAAUUUAGAAAGUUUAUUUUGCCAAGGUUGAGGAUGCACGCCUGUGACACAGCCUCAGGAGGUUCUGACAACAUGUGUCCAAGGCGGUCAGAGCAUAGUUUGGUUUUAUACAUUUUAGGGAGACAUGAGAUGUCAAUCAACAUAUGUAAGAUGAACAUUGGUUCAAUCUGGAAAGGUGGGCAACUUUAAGCAAAGGCAGGAAGACUUGAAGUCAUGAGGGGCCUUCCAGGUCAUAGGCAGAUAAGAGAAAAAUGAUUGUAUUAUUUUGAGUUUCUGAUUAGCCUCUCCAAAGGAGGCAAUCAAUUAUCUCAGUGAGCAGAGGGGUGACUUUGAAUAGAAUGGGAGGCAAGUUUGCCCUAAGCAGUUCCCACUUGACUUUUCCCUUUAGCUUAGUGAUUUGGGGGCCCCAAGCUUUAUUUUCCUUUCACACUCCUAGGUACAGUGCCUAGUCAG
rnacentral:lncRNA from 1 species